rnacentral:piRNA from 1 species
UUGCUGAGUCAGCUUGUCGUACAGAUCCU